AAACGUGGCAGAAAGAAAAAUCCAGGAAAGUUAAUAACAUCUCCCUUCACACAACAUUUUAAAUCUGGAGGAACUUUAUGUGUUACACGUCAGGUUUUUGAGACAAAACAUCCUUUUUUAUAUGCAAGCGGAGGAGAUGAUGAAUCUGAUUUGAUCGAUUCAUUCACUAAGUGGCUUUAUAUGGGUACAAAAAAGAGGGGAAAGAAACCUUAUACAGAUGCUCUUAAUGUUAUCAAUCCAGCAUUUGAAUUGGGUGUCUAUACGGUAGAUGAAAGACUCUGGUUUUUCAAAUUGGCACAUUCUUGAAAACAAUGGUGUGAUGAGGUUUGUUAUAUAAAUUUUAGUUGGACGUUAAUAUUUCUUUGAUUUGUUUUGUUUCUUAAUCUUGAGUUUGCCUUUGUCUCAACUAAAAUUCUUUCUGUUUAGUUGUGUAGAUAGAUUGUAUUUUUCAUCUAUUGAAGCUCUUUAGUUGUGUGAC